rnacentral:snRNA from 1 species
GUGCUUGCUUCAGCAGCACAUACACUAAAGUUGGAAUGAUACAGAGAAGAUUAGCACGGCCCCUGUGCAUGGAUGACACAAAUUCGUGAAGCAUUCCAUAUUUUU